CGGUGGAGCAUGUGGUUAAUUCGAAGCAACGCGAAGAACCUUACCAGGCCUUGACAUGCAGAGAACUUUCCAGAGAUGGAUUGGUGCCUUCGGGAACUCUGACACAGGUGCUGCAUGGCUGUCGUCAGCUCGUGUCGUGAGAUGCUGGGUUAAGUCCGUAACGAGCGCAACCCUUGUCCUUAGUUACCAGCACGUUAUGGUGGGCACUCUAAGGAGACUGCCGGUGACAACCGGAGGAAGGUGGGGAUGACGUCAAGUCAUCAUGGCCCUUACGGCCUGGGCUACACACGUGCUACAAUGGUCGGUACAAAGGGUUGCCAAGCCGCGAGGUGGAGCUAAUCCCAUAAAACCGAUCGUAGUCCGGAUCGCAGUCUGCAACUCGACUGCGUGAAGUCGGAAUCGCUAGUAAUCGUGAAUCAGAAUGUCACGGUGAAUACGUUCCCGGGCCUU
rnacentral:rRNA from 1 species